rnacentral:ncRNA from 1 species
GCCGGAAGGACGAGCCAAAGAGCGGCACCGAAGGAGCAAAGGGUCGGCCCUGCAAGCCGGCAGCCGAAUCUCUCAGGUACAAGGACCAUG